CUCAGCACAUUGCAUGCACCUGAGCUGCCCUGGGCUGGCCCUGCCUUCCCCCCAAGUGCUCCAUCACUGCUUCAGGCCAUGACUCAGCAUUGCCAAUAAAUGAUGAAAUGGGACAGCAGCAACACAGCAAGGGUUGGUAGCAGAUUUCUCAGGGACAGAGCCAGGGCAGGAGAGAUGGGGCUACACCCCCCAUGUUCACACCGUGCUGGGAAUACCUGCUCCAUGCACAUGGUGUAUGGAUCAAUUUGAAAUAUCUGCAACUCAAAGGCAUAAAGCAUUAUCCACUGCAUGUCCCACCAGGAUAAUAAGCCAUCCUCCCUGCUCAUGUCCAUCAAGCAAGCAGAUAAUCCACCCUCUUUAUUUCCCCUGGAUAAAGGAGAUGUCCUUCUGACACGUGGGUAUCUGAGACCUCAGGAUUAGAUGGAGCAGCAGAAUGAAGCAUGAUGUAAAUGAGUCGUUCCUCUCCUGGAUCGUUUGGCGUGGAGUAGGGAGGUUGGGAGAAAUUACAGCUGGGCCCAUAAAUCACGGCAUUAAUUACGUAUUCAGCCAAUGUUGCCAAGGCUUUCUGUUUGCAAAUUGCCUGCAAACAGAUUGAAAAAGUCCCCACCAUAUUCCUUGUUUGAAAAUAUUUACAAAUUUCUUCACUGUCUAAGGAUCAAUUCCAGUUGAAAAUGUGAUUAUGGAAUCUACAGUUCACAUUCACACCAUUCCUGCUGACCCAGCUGUGGCCUUUGGAUGUUUCUGUGCCAUAAAUAUGCAACAAAGAAAUCAGAAAGUCACAAUUCUAAGGCCAGAAGGAAACAAAAGCUUCUAGUCUGACUUCCCAAAGGUUCUCCUCUGCUGAGUGCUUCUCUGAGCCUAAUGAACUCCCCACAAGAACAACUUUUAGAAGAAUUCAGCGUCUCGAUCCAGCACCUUGAAGUAGUGAAGAAUUUACCGCCGUCUUCAGUUAGCUGAGCCAGGGCUUAAUUACCCUUGCCGUUUAAUUUGUAUCUGAACGUUUCUAAUUUGCAUUCAGCUCCUGUUACGCCUUCUCUAAAGAUCCCUUGGCUCUCUGAAGCUUCUCCCGGCGUGGCUGCUCAUAGAGCAGCAAUUACCACCGCUGCCUCAUCUACGGCUUCGAGUCCAGACCCUUCACCUGCACCAUGGGUUCCCAUCCAGCCCAGCCUGGAUUCAAAGCAAUGGGGCAUGUCCGUGACAAGUGGGAAUUUUGCAAUCAGGGAGAUGUUUUGAAACGUUCCCAGAGGGGAGGAUGCGAAGGAAAAGUUUGCUUUCCAAGAGAAUUCACGCUAGUGAAGCUCAACUGGCUGUUCAAGCUCUGACUUGCUCCGUGAAGGUCAGCUCUGGCCAGGUUGGAGCAGUGCAUCACAUCAGGUUCAGCACCAUCUGCUUUCU
ensembl:lncRNA